GAAACCUACGGGCUAGCCAAAAAGACCUAGAGUUGGAAAGUGAAUCUUGCAUUCAUCAUGAGCAUUCUAUUGAGUAUAGCAUUGAUUAUAUUGUUCAGGCAUAUUAGCUGCAUUUGUUUAGUUGGUUACUAUCUAUCUAUUCUUCUAUUAUGUCUGAUUUAGACCUAAUAGGAAAGUCGGCGAGGUCGGCGGCCGAACCCACUGGGAACUUUGUUGUAGUUCUCACCCCCCUUUUUCCACAGAGCCGGGACCGAGUGAGCCGGCCGACGAUCGCGGUAAAGGUAUCGCGCCAUAGACAGAGACCACCCGAGUGGGUUUCAUAUUUUGGUUUAGUUGUAUACCCU
rnacentral:lncRNA from 1 species